AUUGAACGCUGGCGGCAGGCCUAACACAUGCAAGUCGAACGCGUGGCGGACGGGUGAGUAAUGUCUGGGAAACUGCGCGAUGGAGGGGGAUCACUACUGGAAACGGUCGCUUAUACCGCAUACCCGCGUAAGUGCCCAGAUGGGAUUGGCUAGUAGGUGGGGUAACGGCUCACCUAGGCGACGAUCCCUAGCUGGUCUGAGAGGAUGACCAGCCACACUGGAACUGAGACACGGUCCAGACUCCUACGGGAGGCAGCAGUGGGGAAUAUUGCACAAUGGGCGCAAGCCUGAUGCAGCCAUGCCGCGUGUAUGAAGAAGGCCUUAGGGUUGUAAAGUACUUUCAGCGAGGAGGCGUUACUCGCAGAAGAAGCACCGGCUAACUCCGUGCCAGCAGCCGCGGUAAUUC
rnacentral:rRNA from 1 species